UGGGGAAUAUUGGACAAUGGGCGCAAGCCUGAUCCAGCAAUGCCGCGUGUGUGAAGAAGGCCUGCGGGUUGUAAAGCACUUUCAGUGGGGAAGAAAAGCCUGGGGCCAAUACCCUCGGGUCUUGACGUUACUCACAGAAGAAGCACCGGCUAACUCCGUGCCAGCAGCCGCGGUAAUACGGAGGGUGCAAGCGUUAAUCGGAAUCACUGGGCGUAAAGCGCACGUAGGCGGCUGGGUAAGUCAGAUGUGAAAGCCCCGGGCUCAACCUGGGAACUGCAUUUGAUACUGCUCGGCUCGAGUCUGAUAGAGGGGGGUGGAAUUCCAGGUGUAGCGGUGAAAUGCGUAGAUAUCUGGAGGAACAUCAGUGGCGAAGGCGGCCCCCUGGAUCAAGACUGACGCUGAGGUGCGAAAGCGUGGGGAGCAAACAGG
rnacentral:rRNA from 1 species